UCAGCUUGUUGAAAUUAUAAAGGUAAUAGUUUGUUAAAUUUCUCACCAACAAAAGGCACCAAGUAAUCUGUAUUAAGCCAUUCAUUUCCCAUUGUAUCUGAGUGUGGAUGCUAUUGAAACUUAGUCAUCCUAAUGAACCUUUCUUAUGACAAUGCUUAUUGAAAGAAAUUGAUAAACUGUUAGUCUGACCAAGGAUAUUCAAAUUUUUAUUCAUAUUCAAACUUACCAUCCCACUGAGAUUAGAAAAUCCAAACUUUUAUUUCUAGUAAUUUAUUUUAUUUCCUUACUAUAAUUUUUGUGAUUGUCUUGCAGGUUUUGGGUACCCCUACACGGG
rnacentral:misc_RNA from 1 species